rnacentral:tRNA from 1 species
GCGCCUGUAGUUCAAUGGAUAGAAUAGAAGCCUUCUAAGCUUUAGAUCGAGGUUCGAUCCCUCGCAGGCGCA